AAAAUAUUUAAAAUUAAAGCUUCUAACUUUAAAAUAAGAUUAAAAUCUUAUAUUUUU
rnacentral:tRNA from 1 species